CAGCACAGGAAGCUGACUGAGCCCACCAGCACAGCUCCGGCCCAGACACCAGGAGGAAGCCAGCCUGUCAGUAUCAGCCGGUCAGUGAUCUAUGCAGCUGGUCCUAAGAAAGAAACAAGUAUGCAAUGCUAAACAUUCAAAGCUAAACAUUCAGACACAUUGCCGAGAGUCAUCCACUUAACAAAGAAGUUAAUUACGAAAUUUCUCUGAAGAGACAACUUUCCUAGAGCAGAUGGAGAAAAAGAAAAGUCAGCUGCCCCAAGGAGAGAGACAUGAAGAGGAGCCUUCUUUCAAGUUGAAUCAUGUGCCCAGAAUAAAUUAAUCCACACUGCUGUCGAAUCCUCCUGCUGGACCCUCACUCUAACUCAGGGCCUGGACAACCACGAGCCUCUAUAGAGUACUUGCAACACUAUCAUCCCAUCACUUAAUGGCAAAUAGAUGGGGAAACAAUAGAAACAGUGAGAGACUUUAUUUUUGGGGGCUCCAAAAUCACUGCAGAUGGUGAGUGCGGCCAUGAAAUUAAAAGACGCUUGCUCCUUG
ensembl:lncRNA